rnacentral:rRNA from 1 species
GAUGAACGCUGGCGGCGUGCCUAGUACAUGCAAGUCGAGCGAACGGACGAGAAGCUUGCUUCUCUGAUGUUAGCGGCGGACGGGUGAGUAACACGUGGAUAACCCACCUAUAAGACUGGGAUAACUUCGGGAAACCGGAGCUAAUACCGGAUAAUAUUUUGAACCGCAUGGUUCAAAAGUGAAAGACGGUCUUGCUGUCACUUAUAGAUGGAUCCGCGCUGCAUUAGCUAGUUGGUAAGGUAACGGCUUACCAAGGCAACGAUGCAUAGCCGACCUGAGAGGGUGAUCGGCCACACUGGAACUGAGACACGGUCCAGACUCCUACGGGAGGCAGCAGUAGGGAAUCUUCCGCAAUGGGCGAAAGCCUGACGGAGCAACGCCGCGUGAGUGAUGAAGGUCUUCGGAUCGUAAAACUCUGUUAUUAGGGAAGAACAUAUGUGUAAGUAACUGUGCACAUCUUGACGGUACCUAAUCAGAAAGCCACGGCUAACUACGUG